UUAUAUACAAAGCUUCAUUUUAAAACCAAUGGUCGUGGGUUCUAACCCCGGCUCUUAACAAUGUGCAUCUUGUAACAUGUACCGAUUGCUUUACAGUAAAGUAAAAUAUAUAAUUAUCAUGAGGAAGAUGGAGUAGCCCCAAUAAGAUGUCGAACUACCAGCAAAGUUUUUGAAGAGGUGUAGUUUUUAUAUUUCCUGGUACCAAACUGAUACAGGAAAUUGGAACAUCAGUAAAUAAUCUACACCGAAGACAAUGAAAUAUAGUCACAUAAUACUUUAAUGUUUUAUUUUAUUAAAGAAAUCGGUAAAAAAAUGUGUUAACUGAAAAAGAUAAA